UCUGGUAAAAGAGAGGCUCAACUCCCCUGAAUGAAUUUACAGCUCACCGCCUAACUCGGCCAUUUUACCU
rnacentral:tRNA from 1 species